rnacentral:lncRNA from 1 species
GAUGAAAGAUACACUUUCUCUGUGUAUUUCUAUUGAAUCGAUUAUUACUUGGCCAAUGAGCCCUUGAGAAUCUCUCUGUACUUCACUUUCCGAAUCUCGUGUUCACACCUUUAUGGUCUAGGGACUGCAGAUGAAAUAUGCAAUUUAUAUUUUCUGAGGAUUUCAGAACCGAAGGGCAAGGAAGGUCAGUUUGAAGUGUAUUUGUCUACUAUAUUUAUCAAAGAAUGUCAUGCUUUAUUAGUCCUAAUUGGCUUUUCCUCUUUGCAGAUAUUUUGAUAAUUGGAAAAAAAGUGAUGUACAGACAUUGCAGAAUCUUUUGGGCCUCUCCAACGAUUACAUAAUGGUGAAGAUCAAUGGUGUUGGACUGUCUGACAAGGUAUUAUUCACUGUGAAGAGCUUCUAGAGUCAUCUGAACACAGAGAGAAGGGCCCCAAAUACAGUGACAACCCCCUACCCUCAUAAGUCAUAACCUGGUCUGGACAGUACUGAUGCCCUCAAAGGUCAAAUUCUUCUUUUGGUGUGCACUGCAAGGCCGUAUCCAGACCCUAGAUCAUUUGAUUCACAGAGGUAUGCAACUUCAAAAUCUCUGCCCUCUCUGCAAACUCCACCCAGAGACCAUCUCUCACCUCCUUCAUACACUGUGUGGUGUGGUCUCUCAGUCCAUCUGGAUCGAUCUUGUAGACUUUGAUGUUGACAGUGAGGACAUGUUAAACAGAGCCUCGAACCUGGAAGUGCUGCAUCGUCGGCCUAAUGACAACCCCAACUCGACAUCUAUAGGGGCUAAACUAUCGCCCUUAUUACCAUAAUGUUGUGAUCUGGUCAAUCUGGCUCACUAGGAAUGACAAGGGUUUCAGACUUCUUGAUCCCAAUCUGUCCAAGUUAUGUAGAAACAUCAAAGCUCUGUCGUGGUUUUAGAUUGUUGGGUCAGCAAGACACAAAGACUACACUUUUGGAGACGUGAUACGGCAUUGGGAAAUCCUUCUUCUACCUUAGACUUUCAUUACUGGCACCUGCCUGGUUGCUGCUCUUGUUGGGUGUUGAUCUUCUUGUAUAUUCUUUUUGUCUAUCACCUGGGCUGUGAACAACUGCCAGUGAACUACUCAAUCGCUGAAUUGUUCCUAAAGCUCUUGUAAUCCUUUUUAGAUAAUCAAUAAAAAUUUACAAUUUAUCUAAAAAAAAAAUUAUAUUUUGAUUUGACACCUGUCACAUUAGAAGCUGAGGAAGUGUUACUAACCAUCUGUUUAACUUAGUCCUUCUUAUAAGAUGUCUUAUUUGUAGGGCAGAGAUCAAAGACCAGCCCAGACAUGUUACUGGUAGCUUGUACAAGAGAUUUUGGAACCGACUUAGAUAAAGCUACUAAUGAACUCGUCCACAGCGUACAACCUGACAAAAUUAUAUCUCACGAUCAACAACAAGGUUUCAGAUCUUGGAAUUAUUUGGAUCACAGUGACCUUAAUCUGCUUUAUAAAACAAGGUGAAAAAGCGUUUGCUUUUGUUUAAACAUGCUUUGGUUACUAAAAUGAGUAAUCGUGUUUUGUAGUAUAAAUGUUUAAUACUAGUUAUAACCCGUGCCUACGGCACGAUUAUUUUAAUUUUGAUUUGAAUUUUUUUUUUUUUUUUUCAAAAAUUAUUGAAACGAAUACAAUUAGAUGGUAUUUUAUUUUUCAUAAUAAAAGUAGGUGGUACAAUAGUAUUUUAUUUUUAUUUUUUUGGAUCCAUAAUUGUCAUACUAAUUUUUUAUGCAAUAAUAGGCGAUACAAUUGUUUUCACAGGGAAAAAAAAAACAGACCCCUUUAAGUUACAAUAAUGCAAGAUUGGCCCAGUUAGGGAACCUUGUGCAAAAAAGACCCCAACGUUAAUUACGUAUCCUUUUGGACUAAUAUACCCCUAUCCUCUCCGACACACUUUCUUUGUUUCUUUCUUCUUUCCUCAUCAACCAUAUUCUCUCUCCUCCUUCACGUGACAAAAACAUAUCCAAGGGUUUAGCAAUACAAUUACCAUGACAGUUUAUAAUUAAAUUAUAAGUUUUGAUUUUACAACAAAAGGGAUUAUAAAGAAGAAUUUGUAAUUUGAUAUGAGGUUGGUUAGAAUUCCAACAAUUUCUUCUGUCAAUUCUAAUCAGACUUGAGAACAAGUUGUUUUGGUUUUGUUCUUGUUAAUCUUCAAUUUAUCAUUACACCAUGGAUCUUAUUCAACGAUUCCUAACAAAAGUGGAAGAGUAAGAAGAGAAGAAAUUAUCAAACGUUCUCCCACGACUUAUUAUGAUUAAUAUACUCCAAGAUUAUACUUUUAGUUUGUAUUAUACUCAGCAAAGGAUACAAAUUUUAGUCGUGUCGUCUUAGCAACUGAAAUAUUGAACAAAAACUUAAGAGUUUAGUAACCAUGGAAUCAAAAUUUUGGUUAAUUUUUUUUUUAAUCAUACUUCUAUAUUCGUCAUCUACUUCAUUGAAUUGUUACGAAAAUUGAUUUUUCUAUAGAUUUGAGAGGAUAAAUAAAGAAGAGAGAGGUGAUCGAGGUGAAACCCGGUUCUUGUUGAACGGAGUUUACGGCGGAGCAGAAGCAGAAAAAACAAAUACCACUUGGAGUGAUACAUUUGAGUCUUCUUUGAAUUUGAAUAAUCCUUGUGAUACAUACCCCUAGCACCAGUUUCAUUCACUUGUUGUAGACAUAUUCAUCUCAUCUACCCUCUCAUACUCUACCACAUCAUGAUCUAUCUAACUCAUUUAUCAUUAAACUAAACAAAUACCACUUGGACUGAUGCAAAAACUUAUUUGCAUCAAUCACAAACAUAUAAAUAGACUUGUUUGUAAGUUACGACACAUAAACAUAAAAUGCAAAGACUUGUUUGCAUACUCGCAACAACAACCACAUAAAUCAUAAAAUGUAAAAAAAUUGUUUGCAUCGGUCACAACACAUAUAAACAUUAAAUGCAAAGACUUGUUUGCAUACUCGCAACAACAACCAUGUAAACCAUAAAAAUCUAAAGACUGGUUUGCAUCAAUCACAACACACAUAAACAUAAAAUGCAAAGACUUAUUUGUAUACUCGCAACAACAACCACAUAAACCAUAAAAUGCAAAGACUUGUUUGCAUAAACCAGAAGGGUAUUAUCGGUAGUGAAAGGGCCGUUUUUACAAUUUCAACGUUAAAUAGGUACUUUCUUAUCCUAUAAAUGCUUAAUCAGGGCUAAUAUUAUAAACCGGGCCUUAGCUGGUCCAUUUGUGUUUUGUGGACUCUUAAUGAGGUCCUAGAACCAUUUCCAUGAUUGUUUUCAUAGAUAUUUUAUCUUUAAGAUAUUAUUUUAAUUUUAUUUUAAAAAUUAUUGAAGUAAAUUAUUGUAAAAUAAUAAUGAUUUUAUUAGGGGCUAUUCCUUGAUAUAAUUUUAAAAUUUUGAUAGAAAUGUGCAAAAAAAUUGUUCAGAAAACUAUUAUAUAUAAGUUUUUGUAGUGAGGUAUAUGAAUAUUUGGAUACCUUUGUAACAAUUUACUAAGUGUUUUUCCAGUUACAACAUCUGAAGUUUAAAAAAGUUGCAAAGUCAAACUACUUUGAAGGGUUAAGUUGAAUCUAACCGAUAACUUUUUUGAGAUCACACGCCAUUUUAAGUUUGGAUCAUUUGACAUAAUAGUUGUUUAAUUUGAUAUAGAUAAUGUAUAAUUUUGUACAACAUUUUCAUUUAUGCAUCAAGUACAACUUUUUAUGUAAAAAGAUACAUCUUAUACAAAUCAAAUGUAAGAAGUUGAAAAGGUGAAAAAGGCAUUAGGCGUAACAAUUAAAAAAAGUCGAAUACAAUGGCUAUGUUUUAUCACUACCAAUAGAACAAUUUAUUAUGUGUCCGUUUGUACUUUAGCCACCCAACCGUAUUUCCUUCUCCUGUUAUGCAUAGAAGAGGUGAAAAUGUAUGUUGAAAAGAGAUUGAGGAGAAAGAUAAUAUACCAGUAUCUUCACCCCAUUAUUAUGAGAAAUAUAAUGUAGCUAUUGAUAAUAGACUGAAGGAAGAGAGUGACAUGUGACCAUUCCUAUAAAAAGAUUACUAAGGUGCAUAACUAUAUAUGCAUAGCUCAUGUCUGUUGAAUCUAAUGAUAAUAGAUUAAGGAAAAAGAUUGACUCGUGAUCAUUCUCACAAAAAGAUUACUAAGGUGCAUGUUGAAUAUAUAACAAAGAGAUCAACAACCAAUAAAACAACAAAAUUGAUAUUUAAAUUACUGGAACAACCAAUAUACUCAAGGUGUUCAAUCAAAAACUAUACAGUCUCCAAAUUAAUUUGAUAGAACAACCAUAUACUUUUUCAGAAUAAGCAAGGAAUCUAUUCCUGAAAAUCUACAAAGAAAAAAAAAGAAAAGAAAAAAUGACUCACCUUAAUAAAAUAGUGGUAAAAAGCUACUACGUCACAUACAUAUAUAGUUCUGAGCUGAGCAAAAUAAACUUUGAAGAAAACUAAUGAAGGAUAAUACAGUAGCUGCAUUGCUAAGUAUGAAAGAAAAGGGAGAGGACAUCAUGAGAAACUACAUUCAAGCAAUCGAGAAUACCGAAGCAAUUUUUGACAUAAAGAUAACUGUAAAGAAUAGGAAAUUUCCAAAAGGAUAUCUUACAUGCACAGACAUCACAUUCGAAGGGCAAGUAAAAGAAGGUACAACAAAAGACAACAUACAAAAGGUAAGACCUCAACCCACCCCCACAAAAAAUCAAAAAUAUAUAUAUAGUCAAUAAGAUCAAACUAUGAAAUUAAUUUUUUUUUAUUAUUUAAUAUAUUGCAGAAAAACUUUGUCCCAGCAACACCCAAGAAACACUCUCGGGAAGAAAUAGUCGACAUUGACAAACUUCCACAGAAAGAUUAUACUAAGAAGAUAUGCAUUAAGCAAGAACCAGAGGUAAGAAUAUUCAGACAAAGAAAAACAAUAAACAAAAUUAUAAAUCAUAAAUUAAAUUUUACAUUACUAAUUUCCCUUCAUUUUUAUAUGCAGGAUUCCGACUAAAGGGGAAAAUGGAAUGCACCUAAGAAACAAGCUUUGCUACUAUAACGUCGUUUCACAACUUUAUUUAUAUUUAUCACUCUAUUUUUAUUAAUCAGAUUUUUAUAUUGAUAAGAUACUUUUGAAUUUUUUUUUUAACUUCAUAUUUAGAUCUCAUAAAUAUUUAACUAUUAAGAUAUGCAAUUGUUUUGAUUUCCUACCUACCUAUCUCUGUUAUAUCUCUGAUUAAAUUUUUUUAUUCAAAAUCCAAUCAAAUAACUUAAAUGGGAGGAUCUAACUUUUUGAACAGAUCUACCAAAUGAAAACAGAAUCAGAGAGAGAGAGAGAGAGAAGAGACCUGGGAAGUUUGAAGAUUAGAAUCUGAUGAUGAUAAUAAGAUUAUUGUUGAUUGAUAUGCAAAGGGAUUCAUUCUGCAAUUCCUCCUCCAUUGUAAAUGCCAAACCUAAACCUUGCUCUAGAUCUGAAUUAUUACAUCAACUGGGCUUUCCAAACAUAAUAAAAAACAAACAACAAAAAGCCCAAAACAAAAA